GUGUUCAAUUUGGCAGCACACAUACUAAAACCACAAUGGUAAAAAAGAUUAGCAUGUCAUCUGUGCAGAGAUGACAUGCCAACUCAUGAAGCAUUCCAUAUUUUG
ensembl:snRNA U6 U6 spliceosomal RNA